UAACACAUGCAAGUCGAGGGGCAGCAUGGUCUUUGCUUGCUAAGGCCGAUGGCGACCGGCGCACGGGUGAGUAACACGUAUCCAACCUGCCGUCUACUCUUGGACAGCCUUCUGAAAGGAAGAUUAAUACAAGAUGGCAUCAUGAGUCCGCAUGUUCACAUGAUUAAAGGUAUUCCGGUAGACGAUGGGGAUGCGUUCCAUUAGAUAGUAGGCGGGGUAACGGCCCACCUAGUCUUCGAUGGAUAGGGGUUCUGAGAGGAAGGUCCCCCACAUUGGAACUGAGACACGGUCCAAACUCCUACGGGAGGCAGCAGUGAGGAAUAUUGGUCAAUGGGCGAGAGCCUGAACCAGCCAAGUAGCGUGAAGGAUGACUGCCCUAUGGGUUGUAAACUUCUUUUAUAAAGGAAUAAAGUCGGGUAUGGAUACCCGUUUGCAUGUACUUUAUGAAUAAGGAUCGGCUAACUCCGUGCCAGCAGCCGCGGUAAUACGGAGGAUCCGAGCGUUAUCCGGAUUUAUUGGGUUUAAAGGGAGCGUAGAUGGAUGUUUAAGUCAGUUGUGAAGGUUUGCGGCUCAACCGUAAAAUUGCAGUUGAUACUGGAUAUCUUGAGUGCAGUUGAGGCAGGCGGAACUCGUGGUGUAGCGGUGAAAUGCUUAGAUAUCACGAAGAACUCCGAUUGCGAAGGCAGCCUGCUAAGCUGCAACUGACAUUGAGGCUCGAAAGUGUGGGUAUCAAACAGGAUUAGAUACCCUGGUAGUCCACACGGUAAACGAUGAAUACUCGCUGUUUGCGAUAUACAGCAAGCGGCCAAGCGAAAGCGUUAAGUAUUCCACCUGGGGAGUACGCCGGCAACGGUGAAACUCAAAGGAAUUGACGGGGGCCCGCACAAGCGGAGGAACAUGUGGUUUAAUUCGAUGAUACGCGAGGAACCUUACCCGGGCUUAAAUUGCAGAUGAAUUACGGUGAAAGCCGUAAGCCGCAAGGCAUCUGUGAAGGUGCUGCAUGGUUGUCGUCAGCUCGUGCCGUGAGGUGUCGGCUUAAGUGCCAUAACGAGCGCAACCCUUGUUGUCAGUUACUAACAGGUUCCGCUGAGGACUCUGACAAGACUGCCAUCGUAAGAUGUGAGGAAGGUGGGGAUGACGUCAAAUCAGCACGGCCCUUACGUCCGGGGCUACACACGUGUUACAAUGGGGGGUACAGAGGGCCGCUACCACGCGAGUGGAUGCCAAUCCCAAAAACCUCUCUCAGUUCGGACUGGAGUCUGCAACCCGACUCCACGAAGCUGGAUUCGCUAGUAAUCGCGCAUCAGCCACGGCGCGGUGAAUACGUUCCCGGGCCUUGUACACACCGCCCGUCAAGCCAUGGGAGCCGGGGGUACCUGAAGUGCGUAACCGCGAGGAGCGCCCUAGGGUAAAACUGGUGACUGGGGC
rnacentral:rRNA from 1 species